rnacentral:rRNA from 1 species
CCUGACUGCUAUCGGAUUGAUACUAAGCCAUGCGAGUCAUUGUAGUAAUACAAGGCAGACGGCUCAGUAACGCGUAGUCAACCUACCCUAUGGACGGGAAUAACCUCGGGAAACUGAGAAUAAUGCCCGAUAGAACAUUAUACCUGGAAUGGUUUAUGUUCCAAAUGAUUUACCGCCGUAGGAUGGGACUGCGUCCUAUCAGUUUGUUGGUGAGGUAAUGGCCCACCAAGACUAUUACAGGUACGGGCUCUGAGAGGAGUGGCCCGGAGAUGGGUACUGAGACACGGACCCAGGCCCUAUGGGGCGCAGCAGGCGAGAAAACUUUGCAAUGUGCGAAAGCACGACAAGGUUAAUCCGAGUGGUUUCUGCUAAAGGAACCUUUUGUCGGUCCUAGAAACACCGAUGAAUAAGGGGUGGGCAAGUUCUGGUGUCAGCCGCCGCGGUAAAACCAGCACCUCAAGUUGUCAGGAUGGUUAUUGGGCCUAAAGCAUCCGUAGCCGGCUCUGUUAGUUUUCGGUUAAAUCUGUACGCUUAACGUACAGGCUGCCGGGAAAUACUGCAGAGCUAGGGAGUGGGAGAGGUAGACGGUACUCGGUAGGAAGGGGUAAAA